rnacentral:rRNA from 1 species
AGGACGAACGCUGGCGGCGUGCUUAACACAUGCAAGUCGAGCGGUAAGGCCUUUCGGGGUACACGAGCGGCGAACGGGUGAGUAACACGUGGGUGAUCUGCCCUGCACUUCGGGAUAAGCCUGGGAAACUGGGUCUAAUACCGGAUAUGACCUCAGGUUGCAUGACUUGGGGUGGAAAGAUUUAUCGGUGCAGGAUGGGCCCGCGGCCUAUCAGCUUGUUGGUGGGUAAUGGCCUACCAAGGCGACGACGGGUAGCCGACCUGAGAGGGUGACCGGCCACACUGGGACUGAGACACGGCCCAGACUCCUACGGGAGGCAGCAGUGGGGAAUAUUGCACAAUGGGCGAAAGCCUGAUGCAGCGACGCCGCGUGAGGAUGACGGCCUUCGGGUUGUAAACCUCUUUCAGUCGAGGACGAAGCGCAAGUGACGGUACCUGCAGAAGAAGCACGGCUAACACGUGCCAGCAGCGC